GGAUGCGAUCAUACCAGCACUAACGCACCGGAUCCCAUCAGAACUCCGAAGUUAAGCGUGCUUGGGCGAUAGUAGUUCUAGGAUGGGUGACCCCCUCGGAAGUCCUCGUGUUGCAUCCC
rfam:Nicotiana attenuata strain TT scaffold07248, whole genome shotgun sequence.